rnacentral:rRNA from 1 species
GUUUGGGAAUGCAGCUCAAAAUGGGUGGUAAAUGCCAUCUAAGGCUAAAUAUUGGGGAGAGACCGAUAGCGAACAAGUACAGUGAUGGAAAGAUGAAAAGCACUUUGAAAAGAGAGUUAAACAGUACGUGAAAUUGCCAAAAGGGAAGGGUAGGAGGUCAGAGAUGCGUCUUGGGAUUCAGCCUUGCUUUUUUGCUUGGUGUUUUUCCCAAGCUGCAGGCCAACGUCGGUUUUGGGCACUGGAGAAGGGUGGAAGGAACGUGGCACCCUUCGGGGUGUGUUUAUAGCCUUCCACUGGAUACAGCGACCGAGACCGAGGACAGCAGCGUACUCGCAAGAGCGGGCCUUCGGGCACCUUUACGCUUAGGGCGUUGGCAUAAUGGCCGUCUACCACCCGUCUUGAAACACGGACCAAGGAGUCUAACAUGUAUGCGAGUCUUUGGGUGGCAAACCCAUCGGCGCAAUGAAAGUGAAUUCAGGUGGGAUCCGCAAGGUGCACCAUCGACCGAUCCUCACGUCUUUCAAGUCGUGGAUUUGAGUAAGAGCAUACCUGUUGGGACCCGAAAGAUGGUGAACUAUGCCUGAAUAGGGUGAAGCCAGAGGAAACUCUGGUGGAGGCUCGUAGCGGUUCUGACGUGCAAAUCGAUCGUCAAAUUUGGGUAUAGGGGCGAAAGACUAAUCGAACCAUUAUAUAGGAGAUGCUAGGUGGUUAAGAGGUGGCUAAAAGGGCACACCUAGUGGGCGCUGAAGCUCGCGACACUGUCAAAAUGCGGGGACACCCUAAAGCUUUCAAUACCAAGCCGGCGUGGAAACACAGUCGGUGGCCGAGUUAACAGCCCUGGGUACGGUAACAACUUGAAAGAUGCAACAAUGGGCAAUCCGCAGCCAAGCUCUAAGGGUCCAAAAGCAAUUGGAUCUAUGAGUGCAGUUCACAGACUAGAUGGCAGUGGGUUUCGUCUUGCGGACGAGGCUUAAGAUAUAGUCGGUCCUCUCUCGAAAGGGAGCCGGGGGAUGAAAGAUCGAGGUUCUUCAGCAUCAGACCUCUUUCCGGAGCCUCUGGG